UUUCCGUAGGUGAACCUGCGGAAGGAUCAUUACCGAAGGUCCGGGAAGUGGACCAAAAACAAGCCAUGCGGAUUUAGUUCGCUCAUCUACCUUGUCGUAGGUGCUCUAGCCAUCUCUUUCUCUCUCUUGUCGCACAGGGAGCCCGCCGCCAACCCUUUUGCCGGCGUCGGGCUACUCGAUGGAUGCUUUCACCGCCGCGGUCCUCUACCGGGAUCCACUCGCAGGGAGGGGUACUUCGGACCGUCGUCAGGGUGGUGGAGACUGCCGGCUGGAGCUUUUGAGCUUCGGGCAGAGAAACUGCGUAUUCGAUAGGGGGGCGGAGUACAUCAUGCUGAGAACCGGUCGUUUGCUCGGUGAAGUGAAAGUGUCCAAGACACAGAACCCCGCGAAACCACAAUCGUUAUGCGAUGUCGGGCGAGAGGCGUCUCGCCGAGCUCUUCGUGAGCUCGAAACAAAGCGCUACCCACAAACCACACCAAACUCUGAAUCUGAACUCAAAAGGAGGCGCCGCCACCGCGCGGAGCCUUCUCAACCUUUAACGUUGUAAAACUUUCAGCGACGGAUGUCUUGGCUCCCACAACGAUGAAGAACGCAGCGAAAUGCGAUACGUCUUGCGACUUGCAGAAUCCAGUGAAUCAUCAAAACUUUGAACGCAUCUUGCGCUUCCGGGAUAUGCCUGGGAGCAUGCUUGUCGGAGUGUCUGUUGACACAUCUCGCCCCCCCGUCUCUGUUUCCUCUUUUGGAAAACAGAGGCGAGAGGGCGGACUCUGCGUGUUCCGGAGCGCGAGCUCCGAGUGCACCGAACCUCGUGAACGCGAGACCUCUACUGCUGAUUGCACAGAGUUGUUGACGGCGUGUCUGCUUCGGCGGCGCGACUCUCUACUCGCCACGUGCCUUCGGUCUAGGAUUGGUCGUAGUUCCGGCAGAGCUGUGCUUGCACAGCACUACCCCAACUUUCGUUCGGACCUCCGAUCAAGCAAGAGGACCCGCUGAAUUUAAG
rnacentral:rRNA from 1 species